UACGAAGGGGCUAGCGUUGCUCGGAAUCACUGGGCGUAAAGGGUGCGUAGGCGGGUCUUUAAGUCAGGGGUGAAAUCCUGGAGCUCAACUCCAGAACUGCCUUUGAUACUGAGGAUCUUGAGUUCGGGAGAGGUGAGUGGAACUGCGAGUGUAGAGGUGAAAUUCGUAGAUAUUCGCAAGAACACCAGUGGCGAAGGCGGCUCACUGGCCCGAUACUGACGCUGAGGCACGAAAGCGUGGGGAGCAACAGGAU
rnacentral:rRNA from 1 species